CAGCAGCCGCGGUAAUACGAAGGGUGCAAGCGUUAAUCGGAAUUACUGGGCGUAAAGCGUGCGUAGGCGGUUUGUUAAGUCUGUUGUGAAAUCCCCGGGCUCAACCUGGGAAUGGCAAUGGAUACUGGCAAGCUAGAGUGUGUCAGAGGAUGGUGGAAUUCCCGGUGUAGCGGUGAAAUGCGUAGAGAUCGGGAGGAACAUCAGUGGCGAAGGCGGCCAUCUGGGACAACACUGACGCUGAGGCACGAAAGCGUGGGGAGCAAACAGGAUUAGAUACCCGAGUAGUCCCUGUCUCUUAUAC
rnacentral:rRNA from 1 species